rnacentral:rRNA from 1 species
CAGUCGCGCGGUAAUACAGAGGGUGCAAGCGUUAAUCGGAAUUACUGGGCGUAAAGCGCGCGUAGGUGGUUUGUUAAGUUGGAUGUGAAAUCCCCGGGCUCAACCUGGGAACUGCAUCCAAAACUGGCAAGCUAGAGUAUGGUAGAGGGUGGUGGAAUUUCCUGUGUAGCGGUGAAAUGCGUAGAUAUAGGAAGGAACACCAGUGGCGAAGGCGACCACCUGGACUGAUACUGACACUGAGGUGCGAAAGCGUGGGGAGCAAACAGGAUUAGAUACCCCCGUAGUCCCUGUCUCUUAUACA